GAGGGUAUAGCUCAGUGGUAGAGUGCGUGCUUAGUAUGCAAGGGGUCCCAGGUUAAAUCCCCAGUACUUCCA
rnacentral:tRNA from 1 species